rnacentral:rRNA from 1 species
ACUGCUCAGUAACACGUGGACAACCUGCCCUUAGGUUGGGUAUAAACCCGGGAAACUGGGUAUAAUACCCGAUAGGUCUCGAUUGCUGGAAUGCAUCGAGAUUUAAAGCUCCGGCGCCUAAGGAUGGGUCUGCGGCCUAUCAGGUAGUAGUGGGUGUAGCGUACCUACUAGCCUACGACGGGUACGGGUUGUGAGAGCAAGAGCCCGGAGAUGGAUUCUGAGACACGAAUCCAGGCCCUACGGGGUGCAGCAGGCGCGAAAACUUUACAAUGCUGGCAACAGCGAUAAGGGAACCUCGAGUGCCAGGUUACAAAUCUGGCUGUCGAGAUGCCUAAAAAGCAUUUCAUAGCAAGGGCCGGGCAAGACCGGUGCCAGCCGCCGCGGUAACACCGGCGGCUCGAGUGGUAACCGUUAUUAUUGGGUCUAAAGGGUCUGUAGCCGGCCGGAUAAGUCUCUUGAGAAAUCUGGCAGCUUAACUGUCAGGCUUUCAGGAGAUACUGUCUGGCUCGAGGCCGGGAGAGGUGAGAGGUACUUCAGGGGUAGGGGUGAAAUCUUGUAAUCCUUGAAGGACCACCAGUGGCGAAGGCGUCUCACCAGAACGGACCUGACGGCAAGGGACGAAAGCUAGGGGCACGAACCGGAUUAGAUACCCGGGUAGUCCUAGCCGUAAACGAUACUCGCUAGGUGUCGGCCACGGUGUGACCGUUGUCGGUGCCGUAGGGAAGCCGUGAAGCGAGCCACCUGGGAAGUACGGCCGCAAGGCUGAAACUUAAAGGAAUUGGCGGGGGAGCAC